AUCCAGGCUGUCGGCGUAGUAACAUGUAAGAUGUCUGACGAUAACUGCAUUGGCAUUUCAGAAAAUCUAAUGCCGACUCGUCAUCCAUCUGCCUAUGAGGCUGCAUCCCAUUGUGGGAGACCUGUACUGUCCUCCAUUGCACGGCCAGUGGAAUGUUCUCACUGAUCAGCAUUUCAUGGUUGUGGUGAAAUGAUAUUCUAAUGUGAUAGACCUGAAGACGCAUGGUGGCAGUGUUUAAUUGCCUUGCAGUCUGGUGUUUUUUUUGGGAGAGAGGAAGUCUACAGUGAUUUUCUUUUCUUCAUGGAGCACUGGAGAAGGCAAUUGUUUAACAAAUCAUGGGCAGUAGUUCUGAUGUAACUGUUGGGAAUCUGCUGGAGUUAGUAACCAACUCAUUUCUGUGUGAUCCAGUACAGAUAGUGGGAGUUAAUUGGCAUGGCGUAUACGUUGUCGAUGCCAUUUUCCUUGGGAUUAGCUGUGGUGAGUUUGAUCUUUGGGCGUGACAUUGCUACUUGUAGGCAUGUUAGCGUUUCCUGUCUGGUAUCGGUUGGCCGCGCAUCUAGGUUUGGGACACUUCGCUCGCGUUUAAGGGGAAUGCUCAAGUGAAAAUAUCGGUGUUAUGGAAAAUUUUUGUGAUACAUGAAUAUACUGGAUCUUAGGGGACUUCAAUUUUUUUGUAUAUGGUAUAAUCGGCUUGCCAACUAGAAUGAUCUGACUAAUGGUUAAUAGCGAAAACAAUUUUAAAUUCUUGUCAUUUAACUUUGUUAAUUACGCCUCCAGUGAUAAAUUUGAAGUAAUGUUCGAAGAAUAUCUGUAAUGCAUGUUAUGUAGUAGUACAAAUUAUCUAACUA